UACAGAGGGGGCAAGCGUUGUUCGGAAUUACUGGGCGUAAAGGGCGCGUAGGCGGCCUGUUAAGUCGAACGUGAAAUCCCCGGGCUCAACCCGGGAACUGCGUCCGAUACUGGCAGGCUUGAAUUCGGGAGAGGGAUGCGGAAUUCCAGGUGUAGCGGUGAAAUGCGUAGAUAUCUGGAGGAACACCGGUGGCGAAGGCGGCAUCCCGGACCGAGAUUGACGCUGAGGCGCGAAAGCCAGGGGAGCAAACGGG
rnacentral:rRNA from 1 species